CUCCCGGCCGACGGAGCUGAAGGGGCGGGGGUUCCUUCCUUGGAGUGUUUCUAGAGCUCGGAGGCUGCUGGUAGGGGGGCACCACUUUCAGAUAAAAACAUAGACCUGAAUGGCAUCAUCCAGUAUCCAAGGAAACCAUGCUUGCUUGAAGAGUGAGCAGGUGAGCAAAGAGACAAGAUUACAUGUUUAAACCAAGAAAAGAAUCUUGAAAAUUUUUUACAGACAAUGGGAAGCACUGACACCUUUAAGAGGGAUGUGUAAUACACUCGCUAAUGUUUCCUGUUGUGUUUCUGAAAACCUGUGUCAGAAAAUAUACUGUCUCGAACUGGAAAGAUGUGAGAUUCUUAAUUUUAAAGAGCUCCAUUAAUAUUGUGUGUCUGUAACCAGCUAAUGAGCUGCAACAGAGCCUGGCCUUCAUUUUCAGCAAAUUAAGUUCAUCCCUCAUAGGAAUUGUGGUCUGGCUGUGGCACCGCUCCUAGACCCACUUAUAUGUUAUCUCAUCAAGGAAAAUUUUCCCAUCCUCCCAAAGGAGAACAGAACUCCACUGUAGUGGAAUAAGUUUUUUGAGGUAUGAACCAAUGCUUCUGUCCUCCUAAUAUUCUUACAACCUCUAACCCGCCUCUGCAUUCAGGAAACCAGAAUACAUUAGGGAGGAGACAGCAAAGGAAAACAAAAGACAAUAAAGGAAUCGAUGUAUUUGUUUUGUAACUCAAAGUUAAAGUCCAAAUUUAGAAAAUAGAUUUGAAAGCAUAACGGGUCAAUUUCUGUUGUGCCUCUGAAGAAGAAAGUUGAGAAAGAACGAAGAGGGCUUAGAUGCUGGUGGGUGUCUGCAAAAAAGCCCAGACAAUGCCUGGAAUAAUAAAGAAGCAGAGAACUUCCAGGGAGGAAGGGAACAGUCUCUAAGAUGGAGCAGGACCUGGGGAAGUCUUGCUUCUCCACUGAAGAACAUGGACCAAGACCAGGGCAGAAGGGAUGGCAGCUUCCCCGUAGAGCAGUGAGGACGGAUGACGACAUGAAGACUGGACUGCUCAUUCUCACCUUCCCUUCACAGUCCCUGGCACUUUUUAAGCUCCUUGGAAAUUAGAGGCAAUCUAGGAGAAAGGGGGAUAGAAGCAGACCUUAUUUCUGUUACAAUGUGAAUGGGAGCUUCAAAUUGAAGAUAAAAUGUUAUGGAAAAAGUGAAAUUAUAUAUAUAUUUUGCACAUCGUAGCUUGGUGGCUUUAGGUUUCUGUGCAUCAAAGGAAGGAAUUGUGUCUUCCUCAUUGUCAUACUCUGGUAUUGGAGAUUGUGCAACAUAUAUAGUAGGUAUGCAAUAAACAGCUGUUAACAGAAUGAA
rnacentral:lncRNA from 1 species